rnacentral:rRNA from 1 species
GACGAACGCUGGCGGCGUGCCUAAUACAUGCAAGUAGAACGCUGAAGGAGGAGCUUGCUCUUCUGGAUGAGUUGCGAACGGGUGAGUAACGCGUAGGUAACCUGCCUGGUAGCGGGGGAUAACUAUUGGAAACGAUAGCUAAUACCGCAUAAGAGUAGAUGUCGCAUGACAUUUGCUUAAAAGGUGCAAUUGCAUCACUACCAGAUGGACCUGCGUUGUAUUAGCUAGUUGGUGAGGUAACGGCUCACCAAGGCAACGAUACAUAGCCGACCUGAGAGGGUGAUCGGCCACACUGGGACUGAGACACGGCCCAGACUCCUACGGGAGGCAGCAGUAGGGAAUCUUCGGCAAUGGACGGAAGUCUGACCGAGCAACGCCGCGUGAGUGAAGAAGGUUUUCGGAUCGUAAAGCUCUGUUGUAAGAGAAGAACGAGUGUGAGAGUGGAAAGUUCACACUGUGACGGUUUCUUACCAGAAAGGGACGGCUAACUACGUGCCAGCAGCCGCGGUAAUACGUAGGUCCCGAGCGUUGUCCGGAUUUAUUGGGCGUAAAGCGAGCGCAGGCGGUUAGAUAAGUCUGAAGUUAAAGGCUGUGGCUUAACCAUAGUACGCUGUGGAAACUGUUUAACUUGAGUGCAAGAGGGGAGAGUGUAAUUCCUUGUGUAGCGGUGAAAUGCGUAGUUAUGUGGUAGGUGCCUGGGUGGUGAAUUGGUUCUUCUGUGUUUGGUACGGACUGUGAGGCGCGAAAGCGUGGUGAGUGAACAUUGAUUGUGAUCCCUGGGUGUGCCGUGUGUGGUGUCUGUCUGGGGAGAUGUGUGUGUGUGUGUGCCGCGCGACUGUGCGUGUGAGAAACAAUGAGUGUGUUGUAGUGUGUGAUGUGUAUGUUGUGAGUUGUGUAUGUAUGCAUGUGUGUUG